CGCUCCCGCGUUCAAGCAUUUCUGUGACGACCGUGAGAAUAUGCCUCAGCUACUAGCGUCGAUUGCUACGAGCUGUCAGUCUUAUCGCCACAAUCACGAUGACAGGAGCCAUGUGCGUAACCAAGGCUGCCUCGCGUUCGUACAAAAUACGCGCAACUGUUUCUUUCGAAAGCUUGCGUCCCAGUGUUAGCAGACAGGACAGGUUCGUCAGGUCGUUCGCGCGGGACCGUUUCAGUUUCUGGUGUGUGGUUAUGCAUGAAUAGAGUCAGUGUUGCUGUUGUUGGUGUUGAUGUAUUUCUAAUUACCUGGCCAGUUCAAGAUACGAGACACUUGACCUAAACGUUUCACUCUUUCUGUGACAUCCAAAUCAACAAUAUGGAAUUUUCUACGAGGCAUCUGCCCGAAUCACACCAUUCUCUCGGUACAUUUCGUACAAUGACGCCGAAAGUAUCGAAUGUCAGCCUAGCAGCAGCGUAAGCAUUUGCAUGCCAGUAGGGCACCCGAGAAAAGACAAUUGAUACGUGAUUGAAAGGCUAAGUGAUAAGAGUUUGAUUUUUAAUUGAAAUUCCAACACUCGUCAAUCCAACGACAACUGCCAUUUGAUGAGCAAAGUGAAAAGCAACACGAUCCAAUGAAAGAACUGACGUAUGGGGGGGGGGGCUUGAUGCAACAACAGCGACGACAUAAGUGUACUGGUGGUCAGAAGGGUAACGCUUCACGACGUGAAAGAGACCCGUGCAUUUGGCUUUUUGUGCAUACUAGUCCAACAAGCUCCAAAUAGAUGUUCUAUGACAUGGCCUACGAACAUAAUUGUGUGCCAGUCCCGUUUGCUGACGAAUGAUAGAGAAGCACACCUACCAUGGACAGGAGGCUGAGAACGAAAGAGAGCAAUAACAACGAGAAAGAACCAACCUAGAAUUAAAAAAAACGAGCAAGCAAAAACACCGAAGCACUCAUACAACAGCAUAUACGUUCUUGCGACCAGACAGCGUAUGGUCCUAUCAAAGCAGGUGGCUGACAUUUGAGGUGUUGCUGCUGUUGUUUGUCUGGACGGGAGUUUGACGCGUUCGAAAAUCAGUUGAACACCAGCUGAAUCAAUGCUGGGAUCCUGCUGCAGGAGAAUUUCCCAUGUAUCAACAGCAAGACAGAGUGCACAUUGUAAAACGAUGCAUUGCAACGAUGAAGAUUGCCAUGUGAAUGUUUUGUUUGCGUAGCAAUCUUCCCGUUCACCAGACCAUAAAGUGUUAGCCCUUAGAACAGUGCAAUUGCUUAACAGAAUCGUUUUAAUACUGUUUUAAUAUUUUUGAGAUGUUAUAUGUAACAUCAAACACAAAAUUCGAUAAAAUAUAUGGCUACCUUUAUCACUUUGAGAGGGUCCAAAAAAUAUUAGAUAAAGGAUGAUAUAGUCUCCAACGGCACUGUUCGAGAACUUGCCUAAAUUCAACCAACUUCCAUUCGAUCACUACACCAGAACAGCCUGAUCAUGGUACAGAGGAGGAAAGCGUGGAAGAAAGAGCCAUAAUCACCAUCAUCAUCACCAUCACCAUCAUGAUUACCACCCUGCAACGACAACACCACCAGCUCGCCCAGUUUACUUCAGCCCCAGGCCCUGCUUACGAACUCCAUUGGAAAGAAAUACAAACCUUUUCCCCGGCUCUCGAACAGGGAUCAAAUCAUGCAGAAAGGAUUCAUAUUUCUGCUCCUACACCCUGCUUGAUUUGCCUGCCCGGUUGGCUGUUCGUUCAACGCAAGCUGUCUUCAUGGCGGCAUUUCGCACAAAAUCGGCAAACAACACAGGCGCACUCGUGGUAAAAUUGCAGAGCACUCAUCCCUGGGCUCCCACACCAGCUGUCGAUGAAUGAUGAUAAAUUUGUAAUUAAUUGAUGAAAAAUGGCAUCACCAUUCGCAUGCGAGUGUACUACGGAGAAGCACUCCAGUACGGUGGAAAGCUCUGCAAGAACAUCAACGCAUGGGCAAAGCAAUAACGAAAAAAUAACACAGACACAUACUAUGAAAUCCAAUUCUGUGCUCCUGCCACACGGCAGAUCCACUACCAUUUGGCCGAGUUUUGUUUGUGUUAUAACUUCCCCGUCGUCAAAACGUCGUUCAACAGCGGAAGAAAGAUGAUACUAAUUUACCCGUCAUAAGCAGACAUCGUGGAACCGGGACGUGCGCCACUCAUCUACCAAGCCAGAAAAAAUGGCUAGUUGGAGAAAAAGGACAACGAAGCGAAAACACCAGCAACAGCACGAGCAACAAUGGUUUUCCAAAGAAGGCUGAGCCAACCAUGAAAAACGAGUACUUUAUGGGAGGAAAAACUUGACAGGACCAACUCUCGCGCUUCAACAACCAUCCACCAGUCGAGUCGCACCAUGAACCUUCGAAGCUGAAGCGAGAGGAUCCGUGUGAAGGAUUUCACAUCAGAAAUUCCAUUCUGAGGCAUGUCGUUGGAAUGCCUUCAUCAUUCUUCUACGUUCCAUUCAUCGUUUACACAUGGCUCGUUUGCUGCUUUUCGGACACAUGUUUUGCACGCAAAAGAAACAUACACACAGAGAAAACACACACGACAAGCACAGGGGCUUCAUCCCACUUGCACGUAUUACAAAAAAGUCACCACCUUUUCAUUCAAAUGGUCCCUUCAGAAAAAAGUGCUUCUCUUCUUUUACAUUCUUACGCAAAUAUACAAAUUUGGAUACAGCGUGUGACGUAUACCGUAAGUUUAAACGAUCUAUUGUUUUGUGUUGAUUCCUCUGCACUACACAUGCAGUGCACAACAUUAUUCGCUUUUGCUCAUUCAAUGUUUUUGUUACUUUCUUACUCAAAUUUUGCGUUGCGAAUGAUGAUUGGUGCUAGCGCUUCUGACACUGAGCAGAAUUUACACAAUAGAGAAAAGCAUACGCAUGACACAAGCGCACCUCAAGUAUCUUCCAUUCUAGAGACUCUCAGGGUCAAACAUUACAGCGUUUCUAAAAACAAACAUAAUGUGUGCAGGCAAACAUCAACAAACAAAGAAAAAGAGAAUCCACUUCUGAAACAUCAUCUGCCUGCUGGAAUCAUUUUCAUACUUUAAGUCGAAAAAGCAUGGCGCUAUUGCGGUAUCCUUCACGAGCUUCAUAAAUCCCCCAGCAAGAAUCAACAAAAACAUAACGAACGUCGGGAGUUGUAUCAAAAAUUAUCGCAAUUGUUGAGCGAAGAAUAUACAAUGAUAGAGGGUGUAUAUACCUUGCUGGCAUACAUUUGUUUCCCCCAUUUAGCUAAACACUGUGUGCCCGUUGUGUUCCUUCAAACAUUCUAUUAUACAUUCGACCAGUGGAAUUAACAACAAGGACAACAGCUUUCGUUAGUGAUAGGUUAUGGAAAAAUGUGUUGUACAUCUCUGCGUGGAUGACCGCGAUUAUCCGUUACCCAUGCAAUGCAAAUUCAAUAAAGAAUCAACGCAAAUUGUCAGUUUUACAGUAUGUUU